UUGCAAUGAUUACAUCUUAGGACACCUUUGGAUUACACAUGAAAAUAACAACAAUCUGAUCUGAGCAGC